GAAGUUCCGAAAUAAAACGCGGGACGGUGAAUCGGAUCACAAUACCGUUGAUCCGUUAUUUGUACACAACAAAGAAUCCGAGAGUGAGAUUGGAGGCCAGUGCACCCAAAGCCAAUGGGAUUGAUCGCGGAGGACGGGGGUGACCGCCACAUUGUGCUUCCGCCGCCCAAUUUCUCGAUGGUCGAGGACAACAUUUUUCGAUCAGCCUUCCCUCGACCUCCCAAUUUUCCCUUCCUCCAAACCCUAAACCUUCGAUCUAUCAUAUACUUGUGUCCCGAACCAUAUCCACAAGAAAAUUUGGAAUUUCUUCGGUCACAGGACAUUCGACUCUUUCAGUUUGGAAUUGAGGGGAAGACGGAGGUUUCAGGACCUAUUCUGAAGGAUUCUAUCAUGGACGCUCUGAAAGUCUUAAUUGAUGUGAGAAAUCACCCCCUUUUAAUACAUUGCAAACAAGGAAAGCAUCGAACGGGUUGCCUGGUAGGUUGCUUAAGAAAAUUGCAGAAGUGGUGUCUGUCUUCAGUGUUCGAGGAGUACAACAGAUUUGCUGGUGCCAAAUCGAGGAUAGCGGAUUUAAGAUUUAUAGAAUCGUUUGACAUAUUAUGCCUGAGGCAGUGCCUUUACAGCAUCAUAUACCAGUACCAAGGAUAUAAUUCAACCAAGAGGCGGUUGUUGUAUAAAGAAGAGAAUUUACAGAAGCCCCAGAUGACAACCGUUUAGACGCUGCAGGAUUCGAUACCUGAUUCGGUAGAAUUCAUCCUUUUUCAACACAUGCAGUAUGCAGUUGCUUGGAAGUCACAUUAAAACAGUAAACUGCAGAACCGGGCUAGGCAGGUAUCUGAACAGUCUGUGGAGAUCCAAAAUCUGAAUGAUGAGAGGGAGAGCACGAUGGGAGGCCAAGCAGAUUAUAUAGUUAACAGAUCUUACAUGAGAAGAGAGAGAUCUAUUUUAACGAAUGUUUGCCUUCCUGAAAUUGCUAGCAUGAUCCCGACUUUAUGUGAACCCUCGUUCUUUUACCUCUUAAUAUGAUCAUACACAUACUGGCUGGAUAUCUGUAUUGAAGAGGCACACCUCUUUGUUUUACUUUCGGUUCGAAAGGAGUUUUGCAACUCGACUUGUUUUUUUUUUUUUUUUGACCCGGACACGACCUGUUUAAGAGCUAUGUUACUUAAGUUAUGUGCUAGACCUUUUCUUUUUUCGGUUUGGGGAUCGAGUUUGCGCUUAAAGAAGGAAUGCAUGGCACACUAGCUAUCUUCACCUUAUUUCUUAUUUAAUCUUUUGACCUUUGGGGUAUUUGCAUUGGGAAUUGUGGAUUGGUAGCUGAUUUUGAUCUGUGUUUACAAAUUGCAACUCGCAGAGUCGUAUCGGUGUUUCCAUAAAUGCAGUUAUUUAAUUUGUUCAAGCUUUUUGCGAAGUCAUUGUAACGUUAAGUGCCACGUCGUCCUAGGUUAUCAAUUAUUUUGUUUUGGCCUCUUGUAGAACUAUUAUGCUACAAGAUUGACGGAUAUAUUAAUAUCUUUGGCAAUCCCAUUCUUAUUAUUUGUGUGGA